rnacentral:rRNA from 1 species
GACGAACGCUGGCGGCAGGCUUAACACAUGCAAGUCGAACGCCCCGCAAGGGGAGUGGCAGACGGGUGAGUAACGCGUGGGAAUCUACCUAGUUCUACGGAACAACAGAGGGAAACUUCUGCUAAUACCGUAUACGCCCUAAGGGGGAAAGAUUUAUCGGAAUUAGAUGAGCCCGCGUAAGAUUAGCUAGUUGGUGGGGU